rnacentral:tRNA from 1 species
UUAGGGAGACCUACCUAACUCAAAACGGCAAAAAUUGAUUUACAUAGUCGAUUGAGUUGGUCAUCCCAAGGUCGUGCGAAGAUAGCAUUGCAGGCUUUCAAACUAUAAGUGGUUUUGUUCGUCGGGGCUAUUAGCUCAGGUGGUUAGAGCGCACCCCUGAUAAGGGUGAGGUCCCUGGUUCGAGUCCAGGAUGGCCCACCAUUAAACGUGGGGGUAUAGCUCAGCUGGUAGAGCGCUGCCUUUGCAAGGCAGAAGCCAGCGGUUCGAGUCCGCUUACCUCCACUCAGGUGAGUAAAAAAUGUUUACUGUUUACUCGAAUAGUGAGUGAAACUAACUAAAUUUCAAACAAGUAUGCUAGACUAGCAAAGUUGGAAAUGACUUCAGCACUAUGAUAAGCAAAAAGUAAGCUGUCAGGAUGCUGGAAAAAACUCCAGCCAGAACCUUGAAAACUGCAUAGUAACGCGUGAAAACAAGCGGACCGAGAAUGUGAUCGCUCACAAAUUCAGUUUGCUCAAUAAACCACCUAUGUAAAGAAAGU